ACACUGAUGGUGAAGUGGAAUCACAAUUGAGACCGCAUAGGUCUAUGCGCAUCCCAAGAAUCGAGGGUUCGAAUCCCUCUCGGUGUC